rnacentral:rRNA from 1 species
UGAAUACGAGACGCUAAGGCGUCGAAGUAGUGUAUGUCAUACUUCCAAGAAAAGCUUGCACUGUCAUAAGUAAAAAAUGCCUGUACCAUAACCGACACAGGUGGGUAGGUAGAGUAUACUAAGGGGCGCGAGAUAACUCUCUCUAAGGAACUCGGCAAAAUAACUCCGUAACUUCGGGAGAAGGAGUACCUUAUUCUAUAAGGUUGCAAUAACAAGAUCCAAGCAACUGUUUAUCAAAAACACAGGUCUCCGCUAAGUCGUAAGACGAUGUAUGGGGGCUGACGCCUGCCCAGUGCCAGAAGGUUAAAGAAGUCGGUUAGCAUUAGCGAAGCUGGUAACUGAAGCCCUGGUGAACGGCGGCCGUAACUAUAACGGUCCUAAGGUAGCGAAAUUCCUUGUCGGGUAAGUUCCGACCCGCACGAAAGGCGUAAUGAUUUGGAUACUGUCUCGGAGAGGGGCUCGGUGAAAUAGACUUGUCUGUGAAGAUGCGGACUACCUGCACCAGGACAGAAAGACCCUAUGAAGCUUUACUGUAACUUGAAAUUGAAAUUGGACUUUAUUCGCGCAGUAUAGGUGGGAGGUGUUGAUUAUAAUCUUGCGGGAUUAUUGGAGCCAUCAGUGAGAUACCACUCUUGUAAUGUUAGAUUUCUAACUUUGAAUCAUUAUCUGGUCAAAGGACAGUUUCAGGCGGGCAGUUUGACUGGGGCGGUCGCCCCCCAAACGGUAACGGAGGCGUACAAAGGUUUCCUCUGAACGGGUAGAAAUCGUUUCUAGAGUGUAAAGGCAUAAGGAAGCUUGACUGUGAGACCUACAAGUCGAACAGGGACGAAAGUCGGUCUUAGUGAUCUGACGGUACUGAGUGGAAAGGCCGUCACUCAACGGAUAAAAGUUACUCUAAGGAUAACAGGCUGAUCUCCCCCAAGAGUUCACAUCGACGGGGAGGUUUGGCACCUCGAUGUCGGCUCAUCGCAUCCUGGGGCGGUAGUACGUCCCAAGGGUUGGGCUGUUCGCCCAUGAAAGCGGUACGCGAGCUGGGUUCAGAACGUCGUGAGACAGUUCGGUCCAUAUCCGGUGUAGGCGUUAGAAUAUUGAGAGGAGCCUUCUUUAGUACGAGAGGACCGAGAAGGACAUACCUCUGGUGUACCAGUUAUCGUGCCAACGGUAAACGCUGGGUAGCUAUGUAUGGAGUGGAUAACCGCUGAAAGCAUCUAAGUGGGAAGCCCACCUCAAGAUAAGUAUUCAC